CAAAGAAUUUCGGUAUGCGAUGGCGAUGCGUCCCAUUAGCUAGUUGGCGGGGUAACGGCCCACCAAGGCUCCGAUGGGUAGGGGUUCUGAGAGGAAGGUCCCCCACACUGGAACUGAGACACGGUCCAGACUCCUACGGGAGGCAGCAGUGAGGAAUAUUGGUCAAUGGACGCAAGUCUGAACCAGCCAAGUAGCGUGCAGGAUGACGGCCCUCCGGGUUGUAAACUGCUUUUAGUUGGGAAUAAAAGGGCUCGUGAGCCCCGUAUUGUAUGUACCAUCAGAAAAAGGACCGGCUAAUUCCGUGCCAGCAGCCGCGGUAAUACGGAAGGUCCGGGCGUUAUCCGGAUUUAUUGGGUUUAAAGGGAGCGUAGGCCGGCUUUUAAGUCAGCUGUGAAAGUCCGCGGCUCAACCGUGGAAUUGCAGUUGAAACUGGAGGCCUUGAGUGCACACAGGGAUGCCGGAAUUCAUGGUGUAGCGGUGAAAUGCUUAGAUAUCAUGAAGAACUCCGAUCGCGAAGGCAAGUGUCCGGGGUGCAACUGACGCUGAGGCUCGAAAGUGCGGGUAUCAAACAGGAUUAGAUACCCUGGUAGUCCGCACCGUAAACGAUGAAUACU
rnacentral:rRNA from 1 species